UCCCUGAUAGCUCAGUUGGUAAAGAAUCCGCCUGCAAUGCGGGAGACCCAGGUUCGAUUCCUGGCUUGGGAA
rnacentral:tRNA from 1 species